GACGAACGCUGGCGGCGUGCCUAAUACAUGCAAGUAGAACGCACAGUUUAUACCGUAGCUUGCUACACCAUAAACUGUGAGUUGCGAACGGGUGAGUAACGCGUAGGUAACCUGCCUGGUAGCGGGGGAUAACUAUUGGAAACGAUAGCUAAUACCGCAUAAUAUUAAUUAUUGCAUGAUAAUUGAUUGAAAGAUGCAAUUGCAUCACUACCAGAUGGACCUGCGUUGUAUUAGCUAGUAGGUGAGGUAACGGCUCACCUAGGCGACGAUACAUAGCCGACCUGAGAGGGUGAUCGGCCACACUGGGACUGAGACACGGCCCAGACUCCUACGGGAGGCAGCAGUAGGGAAUCUUCGGCAAUGGACGAAAGUCUGACCGAGCAACGCCGCGUGAGUGAAGAAGGUUUUCGGAUCGUAAAGCUCUGUUGUAAGAGAAGAACGGGUGUGAGAGUGGAAAGUUCACACUGUGACGGUAUCUUACCAGAAGGGGACGGCUAACUACGUG
rnacentral:rRNA from 1 species